rnacentral:rRNA from 1 species
UCGAGCGGGCGUAGCAAUACGUCAGCGGCAGACGGGUGAGUAACGCGUGGGAACGUACCUUUUGGUUCGGAACAACACAGGGAAACUUGUGCUAAUACCGGAUAAGCCCUUACGGGGAAAGAUUUAUCGCCGAAAGAUCGGCCCGCGUCUGAUUAGCUAGUUGGUAGGGUAACGGCCUACCAAGGCGACGAUCAGUAGCUGGUCUGAGAGGAUGAUCAGCCACAUUGGGACUGAGACACGGCCCAAACUCCUACGGGAGGCAGCAGUGGGGAAUAUUGGACAAUGGGGGCAACCCUGAUCCAGCCAUGCCGCGUGAGUGAUGAAGGCCCUAGGGUUGUAAAGCUCUUUUGUGCGGGAAGAUAAUGACGGUACCGCAAGAAUAAGCCCCGGCUAACUUCGUGCCAGCAGCCGCGGUAAUACGAAGGGGGCUAGCGUUGCUCGGAAUCACUGGGCGUAAAGGGUGCGUAGGCGGGUCUUUAAGUCAGGGGUGAAAUCCUGGAGCUCAACUCCAGAACUGCCUUUGAUACUGAAGAUCUUGAGUUCGGGAGAGGUGAGUGGAACUGCGAGUGUAGAGGUGAAAUUCGUAGAUAUUCGCAAGAACACCAGUGGCGAAGGCGGCUCA